rnacentral:lncRNA from 1 species
AUGGGGGGACUGGGCCAGGACAGGGCGGAGAAUUGGGGGGCAGGGAACCUUGAGUGGGGGCAGUCUGUUGCCUUCUCUCACCUCCCCAAAGUCCCCCUGCUAUGGGGUGGGGAAGAAGGACCGGGUCUGCAGACCCUGGCGCUAGCCCUCGGAAGCCCUCUUGCAGAGUUAGGGAUGGCCUGGCCAGAAGGUGGCUGGGAAGGCACCAGGGAGAAGAGAGCCCCCGCCUCAGCUGAGGGAGGGAGAACAGCAAGAGAAAGAAAGAGAGAGGCAAGCGAAAUUCCUGAAUGGAUAGACAGAUGCUACGUCAUCGGAGCUGCAUCCUCCACUCCACAAGAGGCUAGGAGCCGGGAGAGAGAGGCAGUCCAGCAGCAGGGGCCACCGAGCAGUCUCUCUUCCUCCCAGAAGCCAGGAGCUGGGCAUCCAGGAAGAAGCAGCCUCCUUUGUUUCUGGUGUCAUCGUAGGUGGCCACCUUUGGCUUUUGGGCUUCUCACCUGGGGCGGGUGGGUGCUCCACCACCCUCCCGCCCUCUUUCCUCCACACGUGUGCCAGAGCCACAUCCAGCACCACGGACAGCUCCCGGGCGGAAAUUCCAUGAUCUUUCUUAUUCCUGUCUUGGGAAGUCCUUCCCAAUGUCUAACCAAGAUCUGUACUGCUGAAGCACCAGUUCUUUGACCCUUGGCUUGACAUGGUUAAUUUGAGAGGCACAGCUUCCCUCUACCCCAGGAAGGAAGAAACUGACCUUGAUUUGGCACCCACUUGCUUGU